ACGGGGUCACCUGAGUGAGGACAUCUCCUCAUUCAGCCUAGCAAUGCGGAUGCUUGCCUCUUCCAGAAACUCCCUUGAAGAUGCACCAGCCCGCUGGUACCUCUGAGCCCAGCCAAGCUGACACAUAAAAUCAAUCAUCACAGCAAUCCCACAGCAGGAUCUCACAGACGAGGAUGAGGCCGCGCUGCAGAGAUGUGAAGUGACUUGUCUAGGAGUUGUGACACUGCCGCAGUGGAGGAAGCUCAAUGAGGACCAAAGGGAGAUGUGGCACCAACCUUCUCAUCACUGCCCUCGGCCGCCAUGAAAUUCCCUGUGUGUCCCUCCCUGCCGGCCACUAAGCCCGGCGUGUAAGCCUCCAGGCUGUGCUGACGUUCUGCCCAAAGCAGCUUGCCUGCCUGGGCCCCUCCGUCUAUACCAGGACGAUUUCAACCACAAGUAGCAGGGAGGAGAGUGCGGGCUGCAUGUGAACCUGCUGGAUGGGACCUGGGGCAAAGAGGCAGGGCUCUGGAGGACUCCGCGGGGACCCAGAGCCUCCGGGAGCUGAAACUAGAGGGCCUCUUCCCAGCAGCCGGGCACAGCCAGUCCCCUCUGAAGGCCACUUCAACGCAGCAGUGCAAACAAACCCUGCCCUCUGAGAAGGAUGGUAGAGAGCCCCACCU